rnacentral:rRNA from 1 species
UACGGGGGGGGCAAGCGUUGUUCGGAAUUACUGGGCGUAAAGGGCUCGUAGGCGGCCAACUAAGUCAGACGUGAAAAUCCCCUCGGCUUAACCGGGGAACUGCGUCUGAUACUGGAUGGCUUGAGUUCGGGAGAGGUGAGUGGAACUGCGAGUGUAGAGGUGAAAUUCGUAGAUAUUCGCAAGAACACCAGUGGCGAAGGCGGCUCACUGGCCCGAUACUGACGCUGAGGCACGAAAGCGUGGGGAGCAAACAGGG